rnacentral:rRNA from 1 species
CCUACGGGUGGCUGCAGUGGGGAAUAUUGCACAAUGGGCGAAAGCCUGAUGCAGCAAUGCCGCGUGAAGGUAGACGGUUUUCGGAUUGUAAACUUCUAUUAAUAGGGAACAAAGAAAUGCCGGUACCUAAAUACGAAGCCCCCGCUAACUACGUGCCAGCAGCGGCGGUAAUACGUAGGGGGCAAGCGUUAUCCGGAAUUACUGGGUGCAAAGGGAGUGUAGGCGGCAAGGUAAGCGAUAUGUGAAUGCCUUAAGCUUAACUUAAGGAGUGCAUAACGAACUAUCUAGCUAGAGUACAGGAGAGGAAAGCGGAAUUCGUAGUGUAGCGGUGAAAUGCGUAGAUAUUAGGAAGAACACCAGUGGCGAAGGCGGCUUUCUGGACUGAAACUGACGCUGAGGCUCGAAAGUGUGGGUAUCAAACAGGAUUAGAUACCCGAGUAGUC